rnacentral:rRNA from 1 species
UGGGGAAUUUUGCACAAUGGGCGCAAGCCUGAUGCAGCGACGCCGCGUGAGGGAUGAAGGCCUUCGGGUUGUAAACCUUUUUCGCUCAUGGUCAAGCCGCAGCUUUGGGUUGUGGUGAGGGUAGUGGGUAAAGAAGCGCCGGCUAACUACGUGCCAGCAGCCGCGGUAAUAUGUAGGGCGCGAGCGUUGUCCGGAAUUAUUGGGCGUAAAGGGCUUGUAGGCGGUUGGCCGCGUCUGCCGUGAAAUCCUCUGGCUUAACUGGGGGCAUGCGGUGGGUACGGGUUGACUUGAGUGCGGUAGGGGAGACUGGAAUUCCUGGUGUAGCGGUGGAAUGCGCAGAUAUCAGGAGGAACACCGGUGGCGAAGGCGGGUCUCUGGGCCGUUACUGACGCUGAGGAGCGAAAGCGUGGGGAGCGAACAGG